UCCUACGGGAGGCAGCAGCAGGGAAUAUUGCACAAUGGGCGAAAGCCUGAUGCAGCGACGCCGCGUGCGGGAUGAAGGCCUUCGGGUUGUAAACCGCUUUCAGGAGGGACGAAAAUGACGGUACCUCCAGAAGAAGCCCCGGCCAACUACGUGCCAGCAGCCGCGGUAAU
rnacentral:rRNA from 1 species